GGUACGGCCCUUCGCAGCAGAAGGAUGUGAACCCCGUCAGGUCCGGAAGGAAGCAGCGGUAAGCAUUUUUUCUGGGUGCCGGAGGUAGUCGUUCCCAG
rnacentral:SRP_RNA from 1 species